rnacentral:tRNA from 1 species
GAGGGUAUAGCUCAAGUGGUAGAGCGCAUGCUUAGCAUGCAUGAGGUCCUGGGUUCAAUCCCCAGUACCUCCA